UACAGAGGGGGCAAGCGUUGUUCGGAAUUACUGGGCGUAAAGGGCGCGUAGGCGGCCUGUUAAGUCAGACGUGAAAUCCCUCGGCUCAACCGGGGAACUGCGUCUGAUACUGGCGGGCUUGAAUUCGGGAGAGGGAUGUGGAAUUCCAGGUGUAGCGGUGAAAUGCGUAGAUAUUCGGAGGAACACCAGAAGCGAAGGCGGCUCACUGGCCCGAUACUGACGCUGAGGCGCGAAAGCGUGGGGAGCAAACAGG
rnacentral:rRNA from 1 species